rnacentral:lncRNA from 1 species
GAUGCUUGUCUCAGCCCAUAUAGGAAUUUCUUGAGCUUACAAACCAGAGGAGAAGAAGUAGAAGAAAUAGAAUCAGAAAGAGGAGCAGGAAGAGGUUGUGAAGAAGGUAAAGCAGGAGGAGAGAUAUCAUGAUUGAAAGAGGGAAGAGGAGAUGGAGCAGCAUCAGUAAAAUCAGGAACAGGAGAAUCAGAUGUUGGAUCAGAUGGAGGG